UCAGGACGAACGCUGGCGGCGUGCUUAACACAUGCAAGUCGAACGGAAAGGCCCUGCUUGCAGGGUGCUCGAGUGGCGAACGGGUGAGUAACACGUGGGUGAUCUGCCCCUGACUUUGGGAUAAGCCUGGGAAACUGGGUCUAAUACCGGAUAUGACCAAGGAUUGCAUGGUUCUUGGUGGAAAGCUUUUGCGGUUGGGGAUGGGCCCGCGGCCUAUCAGCUUGUUGGUGGGGUAAUGGCCUACCAAGGCGACGACGGGUAGCCGACCUGAGAGGGUGAUCGGCCACACUGGGACUGAGACACGGCCCAGACUCCUACGGGAGGCAGCAGUGGGGAAUAUUGCACAAUGGGCGCAAGCCUGAUGCAGCGACGCCGCGUGAGGGAUGACGGCCUUCGGGUUGUAAACCUCUUUCAGCAGGGACGAAGCGCRAGUGACGGUACCUGCAGAAGAAGCACCGGCCAACUACGUGCCAGCAGCCGCGGUAAUACGUAGGGUGCGAGCGUUGUCCGGAAUUACUGGGCGUAAAGAGCUCGUAGGCGGUUUGUCGCGUCGUCUGUGAAAUUCUGCAGCUUAACUGUAGGCGUGCAGGCGAUACGGGCAGACUUGAGUACUACAGGGGAGACUGGAAUUCCUGGUGUAGCGGUGAAAUGCGCAGAUAUCAGGAGGAACACCGGUGGCGAAGGCGGGUCUCUGGGUAGUAAC
rnacentral:rRNA from 1 species